AAGCUAGUCCUCGAACAAUGCACAAGUGAGUGCACCACGAGAAAAGAAAUAAUUCGAAGUUACAUAUGUCCUCAGGGAAACAAGGUUAAGAGCACAAACUCCAGAUCCAGACUGAUUGGAUUUUAAUCCUAGCGCUCUGAUUCCUAGCCAGUGACCUUGGAGGAUAUCCUGCCUCACCCAACCUCUACCAGAAGAGUCCCAGCAAAAGGGAGGUGCAUGGCAGUGCAAUUCUGCAGACCCACUAACUUCCAAAGGCCUGGGACUGGUUAGGACCAGAGAAGGGCCCGUUCUGACCCACUGGGCACCUGUCCUCCCCAGAGAGCACUCAGUGAAGGGGACCCGCUCCUCCUGAGAACGACUUCCGGCUCGCUUGCAGGUAAGAGC